AUUGAACGCUGGCGGAAUGCUUUACACAUGCAAGUCGAACGGCAGCACGGGGGCAGCCCUGGUGGCGAGUGGCGAACGGGUGAGUAAUACAUCGGAACGUGCCCGGUCGUGGGGGAUAACGUAGCGAAAGUUACGCUAAUACCGCAUACGAUCUGAGGAUGAAAGCGGGGGACCUUCGGGCCUCGCGCGAUCGGAGCGGCCGAUGUCAGAUUAGGUAGUUGGUGGGGUAAAGGCCUACCAAGCCGACGAUCUGUAGCUGGUCUGAGAGGACGACCAGCCACACUGGGACUGAGACACGGCCCAGACUCCUACGGGAGGCAGCAGUGGGGAAUUUUGGACAAUGGGCGCAAGCCUGAUCCAGCCAUUCCGCGUGCAGGACGAAGGCCUUCGGGUUGUAAACUGCUUUUGUACGGAACGAAAAGGCUCUGGCUAAUACCUGGCUCAUGACGGUACCGUAAGAAUAAGCACCGGCUAACUACGUG
rnacentral:rRNA from 1 species